rnacentral:rRNA from 1 species
CACGUAGGGGGCGAGCGUUGUCCGGAUUUAUUGGGCGUAAAGAGCUCGUAGGCGGUUUCGUAAGUCGGAUGUGAAAACUCCAGGCUCAACCUGGAGACGCCACCUGAUACUGCUGUGGCUAGAGUCCGGUAGGGGAGCAUGGAAUUCCUGGUGUAGCGGUGAAAUGCGCAGAUAUCAGGAGGAACACCAAUGGCGAAGGCAGCUCGCUGGGACGGUACCGACACUGAGACGCGAAAGCGUGGGGAGCAAACAGG